CCCUAAAAACAUAAAGUUUUGGUCCUAAACUUGCCAUUCUUUUUUAUGAAAAUUACACAUGCAAGCUUCAACAAACCAGUGAGAAUGCCCACAAACCCCUAAACAGACUACAGGAGCAGGUAUCAGGAACACCAAUGCUUAGCCUAAAACACCUUGCUAUGCCACACCCACAAGGGCCUUCAGCAGUGAAAAGUAUUAAGAAAUAAGCGAAAGCUUGACUUAGUUAUUAUUAAAAAUGGUCGGUAAAUUUCGUGCCAGCCACCGCGGUUAUACGAAAGACCAAAAACAAUGGCCAACGGCGUAAAGAGUGAUACGAGUUUAACCAAAUCUUUAAAGGAAAACUACAACAAAGUUGUAAAAUACUCCCGAUUGUAAGAACCCCAACAAUAAAACGCCUUUAAACCCCUCCCCUCACGAAAGCUAAGGAACAAACUGGGAUUAGAUACCCCACUAUGCCUAGCCGUAAACAAAAAUAGUACAAACACAACACUAUUCGCCAGAGAACUACAAGCAUAAAACUCGAAACUCCAAGGACUUGGCGGUGCUCCACAUCGUCCUAGAGGAGCCUGUCCUAUAAUCGAUACCCCCCGAUAAACCUCACCACUUUUUGAAACUCAGCCUAUAUACCGCCGUCAAUUACGCCUACAUUAUGAAAGAAAUAGAGUAGGCAAAAGAGUCACUGACUAAAACAUCAGGUCAAGGUGUAGCAUAUGAAGUGGAAGAGAUGGGCUACACUCUCUAGCACAGAGAAAACGAACAGCACAAUGAAACAUUUGCUUAAAGGUGGAUUUAGAAGUAAGACAAGUAAGAGAGCUUGUCUUAAAUUAGCCCUGGAGCGCGCACACACCGCCCGUCACCCUCAUCG
rnacentral:ncRNA from 1 species